UGUGUGUGGAAAUUCUAGCAUGUGUCCUCAUAAUCAGUCAUUCAAUUAAUAAAUACUACUUUGAAUAAGUUUAUGGCCAAGUGGAAGGAGCAGGCAACACAGUAGCAACAUCUGGCAUGAACCAGUGGACGCCAUAGAUUAGUUCAGAAACACUGGUGUGUACGUGCAGCCGCCCGCCCUGUCUCACCGCCAACAGUGUGAAGGUACGAUGGCACAUGCAACAACAUUGAUUACCUUCCACUUCUAGAGGGAGAACUAUGCGAGAAACGUAAAGGGGGUAUACAAGGAAAUGAAAAAUCCCACCAUCUACAUGAGAACACUCCGAGAAUAUGCAGUCCAGACGUGACGAUGACCAAAGUCACACAACCUACAUCAGACCAGCCCUAGAGUAUGCAGUCCCGACGUGACGAUUAUCAAGGCGCGACCACCUACAUCAGACCAGCCCUAAAGUAUGCAGUCCAGACGUGACGAUCACCAAAGGACCCACCACCUACAUUAGACAAGUCCUAGUGUUUGCAGCUUCAACGUGGAUUCGCUGUAUAUUUUGAAUGGACACCGAUGUUGGACUAUAAA